UUAGUCGUCUUAGAUGAGGGCUGAGGUAGUGUGGGUUAUACCAGCACAAAGAAAGGGACAGAGUUGAGAGUACAAGUGGAGAGUAAACCCAGAAGAGAAAUUGGGUUCGGGGAUGCUGUUUGAAUCUCGCCUCCAUUGGCUAUCAGCCCUGUGACCUUCGGCAAGUACUUCACCCUGGCCACGCUUCCAUUUUCUCACCUGGAAAACAAGGACAUCACGUGUACCUUUGUUGAGAUUAAACGAGACAAGGAGCCUUGAGCAGCAGACCAACAGCACAAUUAUUUGCAGUGAUUCUAUUUGACCCACAAAUUCUCAACAAAAGCACACGGAACAAACGAAGUUGAAAGGAGGAGCAUGAGUGAGGUUAGACUUCAGGAGAGCUCUGAUCAGUGAAGGAAAUGCAGUGGAACACACUUGGUCCGCUCUUCCCGGGCUGAGCUUUGCCAGGCCCAGAAGAGUUGGCCAGACACAGGUAGAAGCCCCAUGGGUGGGACCCAGUGCCCCCAGCUGGGUCCAGGGCUGGUUGGAGACCAGGGAUGGAGCAGUCGGAAUGGACACCAGGCAGAAGCAGCUGGUCAUCGUCAGCCCCGUGGCACCCUUUGGCCUCUCCUCUGGCCUCCCCAUUUCUCCUCUCCCUUCCCUGCCCCUCUCCUUCCAUCCCCUCCACUCCACUCUCUCCCCUUCCUCCUUCUGCCUCUGGGGUACCGCAGAUUGGCUGGUACCUGUUCUGUGUCGAAAUUGCCCAUCACCAAGGGGCUAGAAACUUUCAUGCUGGCCCUGGGCCCAAGCUCACGGGCUGACUGUGUCUCCUCCUCUCCUCUGAGACCUCAGCAUAGGUGGACGUGGCAAGCUUGGUUACGUGAGGGAGGAGGGGUUGGAGACCUUGGUCACCGGCCAGCUGUGGGGUUCGGAGACUCUGAACUUGGUUUUCGCGCUGUUACUCCGCAGAAACCCUCUUUGGAAGUGACUCGCUGUGACCGAAACCUCUCUGCCACACACCCACCAGGAUUCUGAAGGGUCCCUCUUCCCGAGCCAGGUGGCCCUGGGUCGCCGAGCAGCAGGGGGCAGGGAAGGGGCUGGGACCUGCCCCGUGACGGACCCUGUGCCCGGCGCCUCAGCUGAGCACCGCUGUGCUCGCCGUGUGUCUGGCUGUGUACAUGCACUCGUGUGCGCUAGAGUCGGCCUGCGUGCGCACACAUGCACGCACGACGAGCCACCAGUGACUUCCAGCCGGUGACGGCCUGAGACAAGUUGUAGGACCUGAUGCUGAUCCUGAAGCCGGGCACUGUGCUGUCUGUCACCUGCGUGACAGCUGGGGCUCUUGGCCUGAGGCUGCAGCAGAUUUGUCUGGGCUCCGACUGCGAUCCCCUGAGGACAGAGACUGCAUUCACCUUGUAGCCCAGAGCCUGGCAUGCAGUGUGCUUCUUGUGAGCUCUUCAGCGAAGACACCAACUCAACACACUCAGCACCCUCAUGAGAGGUAGUGGGCUCCCUCUCCAGCAGACUCAGAUGUCUUUAACGGCAGGAGAGCUGCUCGGGAGACGGAUGUGGAGUUGAUGUUGCCCUAAGUUAGAGACCAGGGCCAAGUGACCACCAGCCCCUCUCCAGGCAUGGACUCAGUCUCAGUCCUGCAACACAAGGACUGAAACAUUGCAUGGCCUGUCUCUGGUUUGCUGGGACUUUUGGGAAACCCAAAUGCAAAGUAAUUAGAGUGAGGGGCUUUAAAUUUCUUCAAAUGAAAAUAUUUUCCCACUGUAUAAAUACCUUUGUGGGGUUACUUGCUAGCGUUGUAUCUCCGAACCUUGUUGACAAUUCAUUCAUCCAGUUUCAUGAACACACACAGAAGGACAAAGGGGACCACAACUCCAUGUACAUAACUCAAUCUCCAACAGGGAAGACUGAGGGGAGCAUGGUGGUGAGCUCUCUAGUGAGAGCCGGACCCUGGGGAGGAGAGAGGAGGCCAGGUCACAGCUGGGGACGGUGAGAUGAUCAGGGGAGAGAGGAGCAGACAGAGUCUAUGUCAGCUGCAUGGCUGGGCUCUGUCCUCCUGACCAGCUGUGUCAUCCUGGGCUGGAGUUUAGGGGGAGCCACAUAUUUCCUGCCUUUGGGAAAACCUAGCCUGAUGAGGAAGUCAAAGUCCUGGUCUGCAAGGAGCUGCCAGGUGAUCUCUGGACCUGGGAAGCUUCACACCCAUCGGCUCAGAUAGAAAGCAGAGACUAUUCCUAAUACUUAGCACAACUAAGAAUCUUUGGGCCUGCACCUGAGUACUCGUGUCAGGGCAAAGGGAAAAUAAAAAGGAAGUCUUUUCCCCAGGGAGCUGGGACAACAGGGACUUGAGUUCCUAGACCCUUAUCCCCAAGCCCUGGCCUCCUAGAAAUGGGUUACUAAUUUUUUUGAGCGGGGGAAGAUGUCCCACCCUCCACUGUCUAACACCACAAAAAAUCUGUCAAUUUUGCAGCCUUCUUUUGCUAGAAGGCAUAAGCACUUAGCCCCCUGAUGUCCUUGGCUUCCUCCUAAGACAUCCCUGGCUAUGAACUCCUUUAAGAUGAUGUCUUUGUUUGGGUUCCCUAGAAAAUAGAGCCUGAGGUAAGGCUUAAGUGCUACUGCUUUAUUUGGGAGGUGCAAAUCCAGAGCAGCAAGAGUGAAGCAGAGUGGAAGUGAAGCAGUAAAGGAUGGGGACCAAUGCAAGAUGAUAGUUAUUGCACUGGCCACUUGCUGCCUGAUGAGCUGCAAAGAGACACAGCCGAUCAAGAUGUAAGUGCAUCCCAUCAGCCAGGCAGGACAUUUCUGGACAGACUGUACAGAAAAAGUGUGCCUUAGAACAGUCCAUUAGAAAGGGAAAGGAGAGAGAAUUUUAUCUGAAGUCCUCUCCCAUCUUCCCUCUGCCAAAAUCCAUCUCAUAGGGAGCUAACUAACCUGAGUGUCCUGAGUGUAUCACUCAGCUCCUUCAGCAGUUGCUUAUGAAUUCAGAGCCCACACUCUGCAUAUUGAUGUCUCUUCUAAGACCGAAAGUGCAGUAGGAGCCUGAAACUCUGGCGGGGCAGCUCGUCAAACUCAGACAACAGAACUGUGUGAGCAUAUGUGGAGUCAGUUGACAGUGGUGGCAGCUGAGGCGGGGUAAGCAGCUGAGGGUCUGAGAGAAUCUGAGAAGUUUCAUAAGCCGUGUCCAGCAGAAAGGGAAAGAGUCUCUGGAAGAGGAGGAUGAAAAGGGGGUCCCUGCAGAGUCAUGGUCCUUAGAGACCAGGGAAAGCCAGAGAAGAAGGAAAUCUGAGAGACAAAGGAUGAAGGUGACAAGUUGAGGAGUUUGUAGAAGUUGAAUUAGCAAAAUGGAAGGACUCAGUGAUUCUGGGGAGGAAGUUACUCCAGUUCUGGAAACUACUCCAAGGGCACUCCUCUGAAUAAAAAGGUGCAUUAUAUUAGAGCCUUCUUAGCCAGUGUGUGCUCUUGGUUGUAUAGAAUAGAUCUUCUACUUUUUCUAAGCCCACUGUAUGGUAAAUUGUAAAAUGGCCAUAAAUUCUUCCCCUCCCCGAAUCCAUGCCCUUGCAAACUGACACUGUAGAUUCUCCCAUCAGGAGGUGGUCUGUUUUUCCAUCUCUUGCGUCUAUGCCAACCUUGUGACUUAUUUUAGACAAUGGGACAUUAGCAAACAUUAUGUAAGUAGAGGCUUGGAAAGCACCCUUGUGCAUUGGGGCUUGCCCUUUUGCUAAGCUUAGACCCCGGGGACCACUGUGUGAACGAGCCUGAGCUAGCCCGCUGGAGGAUGAGAGGCCACAUGAAGGAGAACUAAGGUGCCCAUCAGAUGUGAGCGAGACCACCCUUCAUCCGGGUGCUACCUGAACCAUCAGCUGACUACAGACGCGUAAGGAAGCCUAGCGGAGAUCAGCUGAGGCAGCCCAGACCAGAAGAACUGACCCAUGGAUCAUAUGCUAAAUAAUUAAAUAUUUGUUGU